rnacentral:rRNA from 1 species
UGAGGAAUAUUGGUCAAUGGGCGGGAGCCUGAACCAGCCAAGCCGCGUGAGGGAGGAAGGCCCUAUGGGUCGUAAACCUCUUUUGUCAGGGAACAAAAGCGAGUAUGUAUACUAGUCUGAGUGUACCUGAAGAAAAAGCAUCGGCUAACUCCGUGCCAGCAGCCGCGGUAAUACGGAGGAUGCGAGCGUUAUCCGGAUUUAUUGGGUUUAAAGGGUGCGUAGGCGGCGGUGCAAGUCAGCGGUAAAAUGCCCGGGGCUCAACCCCGGCGAGCCGUUGAAACUGCAGUGCUAGAGAAGGCGAGAGGUACGCGGAAUGCGCAGUGUAGCGGUGAAAUGCUUAGAUAUUGCGCAGAACUCCGAUUGCGAAGGCAGCGUACUGGCGCCUGACUGACGCUGAGGCACGAAAGCGUGGGGAUCGAACAGGAUUAGAUACCC